UGGCACAUAUUAGAGGCGACUCAUAAUCCCUUGGUCGCAGGUUCGAGUCCUGCUGGGCCCACCA
rnacentral:tRNA from 1 species